rnacentral:rRNA from 1 species
GACGAACGCUGGCGGCGUGCCUAAUACAUGCAAGUAGAACGCUGAAGGAGGAGCUUGCUUCUCUGGAUGAGUUGCGAACGGGUGAGUAACGCGUAGGUAACCUGCCUGGUAGCGGGGGAUAACUAUUGGAAACGAUAGCUAAUACCGCAUAAUAGUAGAUGUUGCAUGACAUUUGCUUAAAAGGUGCAAUUGCAUCACUACCAGAUGGACCUGCGUUGUAUUAGCUAGUUGGUGGGGUAACGGCUCACCAAGGCGACGAUACAUAGCCGACCUGAGAGGGUGAUCGGCCACACUGGGACUGAGACACGGCCCAGACUCCUACGGGAGGCAGCAGUAGGGAAUCUUCGGCAAUGGACGGAAGUCUGACCGAGCAACGCCGCGUGAGCGAAGAAGGUUUUCGGAUCGUAAAGCUCUGUUGUAAGAGAAGAACGAGUGUGAGAGUGGAAAGUUCACACUGUGACGGUAUCUUACCAGAAAGGGACGGCUAACUACGUG